ACAGUUGAUGACUGAGGAGGAGUUGAGACAGAUUCAGGAGGGCACCUUGUUGGCCAUUUCAUUUGGCCUUGAUAGCUUUAUGGGCACAAGCAACACGAGUGUGAGGUAGUGUGAUUUAGGAUUUGGUAGUGCAGUUGGAGACAAGGGAAAGAUAAUUCUUGGCUUCAUAUCCUUGAUGACUACAUGAAGAAGGAGGAGGAGGAGGAGGAGGAGAAGAAGAAGAAGAAGGGGG